UCAUGCACCGCCAUCUUUAAAUAUUCAAACCGAUUCUUGCUUGAAAAAUUAAUAAAAAGUGAUAUAAACACACAAUCAAACUUUGUGGACAAUAUUAGUCUUCUUACCUACAUCAAACGUAUACUUCCUUUCGGAAUUUCUUUUCCAAACAUUACAAUCAAUUUGUGGAAGCAGUUGAUACCUCCAAGCAUGGCCACUAGUUUUCAAACCUAUAUUGACCGUGAAAAUUUUGGAUGCUCAGUCACGAAAAACGGCGUCUCGAAAUCCAUCCCAGGUCAAAAGGGGCUAUCGACAAAGAAAUCUUAUGUACCAACACCAAGAAAAGCACUGGGUGAUCUCCAAAACAUACAACAAGGAAGUGUGAGAAGGUUUCAAACACCAAAACCAUCAAAAGUCCGAGUGUUUGAUGAAACACCCAAGACGAAAACUUCUGUAAAGUCGAAAAAGGCAAGCUUAAAUGGAUUUUCACAAACCGCAAGUGUUACCAAGCACUCGGUUAAAAACUGUUCCUGACUUUGAAAAAAUGAUUCCGUUUGUUGACAAAGAGAAUGAUCUUCCAAGACCGGAGUUGAUCACAAAGCUGUUGACACAGAAGGCUGUCCUUGAUCCAGUCUCUUUAUCACAAAUGGAACACCACCAAUGGAUGAGAAGAUACCAAAAUCAAAGAUCUCUUUUGACUAUCUGGAAGAACCAUUUUUGAUGACACAAUUGCCAACAUCAUUGGCUUCGAUGAAACCCCACAAUUGAUUGAAAUUGAGCCAAUCUCUGGUCUAGAUUAUUUACCACCUUUGGAAGAAUUUGAUACCUAUUAUUUAGUGAAAAGGCAACUCGAUGGAACAAUGUUAUUCACCAGAAGAUUCAAACUAUAAAAUAGCAACAUCUACAUGAAGUAGUUAUAUAUAGGUUUUGUUAUAUGUUGCUGACAGUAUUUGCAUCACUUAUAUGCUAUUUACGCACUUGUUUAUAAUUUUUCUUAAUGAAAGACUACGUUUGUAAAUAAAUUCUUUGAAGACCUUAAACUUUAUACACGCAAUUGAUAAAAACUGUGUACACGAACACCAAGGAGCAUCAUUUGAAAA